UACGUAGGGGGCAAGCGUUGUCCGGAAUCAUUGGGCGUAAAGAGCGUGUAGGCGGCCAGAAAAGUCCGCUGUGAAAACUCGAGGCUCAACUUCGAGCUGUCGGUGGAAACUUUCUGGCUAGAGUCCGGAAGAGGAGAAUGGAAUUCCUGGUGUAGCGGUGAAAUGCGCAGAUAUCAGGAAGAACACCCGUGGCGAAGGCGGUCUCUGGGACGGUACUGACGCUGGAGACGCGAAAGCGUGGGGAGCGAACAGG
rnacentral:rRNA from 1 species